UCCUGAUGGCUCACAUGAAGUUUCGUGCCGUUCCGACCUCGUUUGAUACGGUUAUGGUUAACCACACGGCCCCUCGGGCCCGACCCGAGCCCAGUCAACGUUUUGACCCGAUCAAAUCGGCCCGUGACCCGAAACGACCCUACUUGGGCCCUACAACAGCCACGUAAAGUUUCGGGAUGAUCCGACGUUCUUUCAUGGGGUUACGGACAAUCCACGCCAAACAAGCGUCACGGGCCGACCGAGCCGGGCCAACGGGCCCUCGGGACCCGAAAACUGAAUUUUUUUUCAUCCAAACCCAUUAAAACACGUUACCGAGGUCUCACGCAAAAUUUCAUGCCAAUCCGACGUCGUUUGAUGGGGUUUUGAGAUAUUAUGAUUCCUCAAAAAUUUAAUGUCUGUUCCUGUCACUUAGCUUUUUGUGCAAAAUGUAUAUAUAGGGGAGGGGUGGGUGUUGAGCAGCCCAUGCCCGGGCAAGGCAUGCCAGCGCCCAAGCCAAAGGAGGCUGGUGGCGUGCGUAUAACAGCUCAAAUGCCCCAACGAUGACCGAGAACAAGCGCCCAUCUCCCCUCCUUCCCCCCCACCAAGCGCCCCUCCCCCCCCAUGUUGCCUGCCCACUCGCACAGCUACUCGUGAUUUCAUGCCCAGCGACUAGUGAAUGUGCCUCGACGACCAGCAAACCUCGAAAAUUAUGAUUCCUCGUAAAAUUAAUGUCUGUUCCUGUCACUUUACUUUUUGUGCAAAAUGUAUAUAUAGGGGAGACCAGGGGCUUGAGCAACCCCUGUGCCCAAGCAAGGGUCAGAUGGAAGCAUACGAGACGCGAGGUUUAAAGCCUAUACAAGCAAGGCGUCUGUCUCCCCAAGCCCCAUUGCCUAUAAAACAAGCCCGAUGCCUUGUAAAUGCCCCACACGAUGCCUAUAAACGACAACGAUGUUUGCUAGUUAAUCGAUCGACGCCCCACACCUUGCAGCAUGUUGCCUAGUAAACAAGCCAUGCUGCCUUGGAAGCGCCCCACAUCAUGGCAUGUUGCCUAGCACGCUGCCCUUGUUUCCAGCACGGCGACCUGAAAGCGUGGCCUGACGACGUGCUUGCCUUCGAAAAUUAUGAUUCCUCAAAAAAUUAAUGUCUGUUCCUGUCACUUUACUUUUUGUGCAGAAUGUAUAUAUAGGGGGGUGGUAGUACUCUUGGGGUAGACAGGCAUGUGCUGGGAUGGCAUGCCAAGGCAUGUGCUGGGAUGGCAUGCCAAGGCAUGUGCUGGGAUGGCAUGCCAAGGACAAGCACGGCUAGUGGUGGUUGAUAAGACAGUCGUCUCGUGUCGUGCGUUUACUUUCUUGAGAGUAGAUGCUCUUAAAGUACCCUGAUGUGUUGUCUUAUGACGAUGCUUCGAUCGCGACCCCAGGUCAGGCGGGACUACCCGCUGAGUUUAAGCAUAUCAAUAAGCGGAGGAAAAGAAACUUACUAGGAUUCCCUUAGUAACGGCGAGCGAACCGGGAACAGCCCAGCUUGAAAAUUUAUCCAACCAACACUAGGGAUGGCCCGUCGCCUGUUUGCCGACCAGCUAGUGGUUGAAAUUUGAUUGCUGGUAACGUUUUGAAAUCAUUUGCGAGUUAUUGUAAUGACAACCGUUAGUUACGACGGUUGCGCUUAUGACCAUUCUUCAUCUGGGCACUUUACGCGGCCCGCAUGGGAGUUCCCAUGCAUUUUAAUGCGGGUCGCCUAAAGGUUAAGAAAUCAGGCGAAUUAGUGAGGAGGCUCGCGGCCCGCCUCAACUAAUCCUUAACCUUCACGCGGGUCGCCUAAGGUUAAGUUUUCAGGAUUUUUAAAUCUUUUUGUAAUGAUUACAGAAUCCGGUCAUUAAUAACGAAAUCUUUCGUAAUGAUUCACCUGACCUUUCGGUUUUGAAGGGGUAACUUUGCGGUUUGACCCUCGGUUAUUUACCGAUAGGGGCCUCGUGUUAAUUACCCGCAUUAUUAAGUCCCCGGUUUAUUUAUUAAUUAUAUUGGAAAGCCUUAACUUUCACUGUUGACGCUUUUAACCCUUCUUCUACGAAUUCGAUCGUAACUUUCUCGUUUCAUAUCGAAACUUCGCGAAAUUCAUAUAUGUUAUUUUAGUGAGGGUAUAAUACCGUUACAAAGUCUUGGGAACGUUAAAGGGUCACUCAGAGGUAUUAUUAAACAUGUUGACACAGUUAACCCCUGUAGUUUGUAAUCUCUCACUUUCUUCCGCGUUUUGUUUUUGU
rnacentral:rRNA from 1 species